UGAAAUCUAUGCAUAUUUACCAUUUACCAAAGUGUCAUUACCACAUCGUUGGGUGAGUGUAGGCUGCCGGUGAAGACUCUUCAACUGGAACAGAUGGCAGUAAUGGGACAGGCGGAGGAGCCGUCGGUUGUGGCCAGCAGAAUGCCACUGGUCUUUAGCACUCUCGAGGAAAGAAUUUGACACAAAGGACACUUUCAGGAGACAGAGAAAGAGAAAGUUUGAUCCGGCGGUCGGGCGGCGCGUGAGCGACCGUGCCGUCGCCGGAUCCCUCUUUUUUUCACCACGGUGCGUUUAUUCGAGUUGCAUGUUCAAGCUUAUGGUUCCGGGAGAUGGAGGCUACCCUAGCUUCGUCGUCGCCGGCUUUCUUCCGGGAGGUAGAGGCUUUCUCAGAUCUGUCGACGCCGGCUCAAGUUCCCGGGAAGCGGAGGCUCGUUUAGCUCCGCCUUCGUCGGCUUCAGUUUCCGAAGGGUAGAAGCCUUCUUUGGUUUGCUCUGUCGGUUUUGGAUCCCCGUAUCUUGCGGGUUAUGUUUACUAGUUUAUGUUUCUGCUUUUUAUGUUUUGGUGUUUGUCGUCGUCAUGUCUGUUGUGUGGUUGUGAGGGCGUGUUAUCGGAGAUGGUUGUUGUCCUCCGAUGAUGGUGCGACGGUCAAGAGAGAAAAGAAGCGGUUAGAGUCUCGGGAUGAAAUAUCCAGUGAUGGUUAGCAAGGAGUCGGAUGAGAUCUCGGUUUAUCCAAUGUAUCUCUCCAUGGUUAGAAUAUCCGGCGUUACCGCCGAUCCUUCUCCGGCGGAACCGGUGUGACAAGAUGAAGGUAGUGCGUAGACACGUGUUGAUAGACUUGAACAGUGUCGGUCACUAUGUAUUGGGCUUUAGGCCCAGAUGUAUGUUUGUUCGGCCCGUUGGGGUUUGUGUAAGAAAAUGGGCUUCGGCCGUUUUUUAAAAUAAAACAUUGACGACAAAAAAAAAAAAAAUCAGGAAAGAAUUUGAUUUCU